UACGUAGGGUGCAAGCGUUAAUCGGAAUUACUGGGCGUAAAGCGUGCGCAGGCGGCUUUGCAAGACAGAUGUGAAAUCCCCGGGCUUAACCUGGGAACUGCAUUUGUGACUGCAUGGCUAGAGUGCGGCAGAGGGGGAUGGAAUUCCGCGUGUAGCGGUGAAAUGCGCAGAUAUCGGGAAGAACACCCGUGGCGAAGGCGGCUCUCUGGGACGGUACUGACGCUGAGACGCGAAAGCGUGGGGAGCGAACAGG
rnacentral:rRNA from 1 species